rnacentral:rRNA from 1 species
GAUGAACGCUGGCGGCGUGCUUAACACAUGCAAGUCGAACGGUGAAAGCGGAGCUUGCUCUGCUGGAUCAGUGGCGAACGGGUGAGUAACACGUGAGCAAUCUGCCCCUGACUCUGGGAUAAGCGCUGAAAACGGCGUCUAAUACCGGAUACGAGCUGCGAAGGCAUCUUCAGCAGCUGGAAAGAACUUCGGUCAGGGAUGAGCUCGCGGCCUAUCAGCUAGUUGGUGAGGUAACGGCUCACCAAGGCGUCGACGGGUAGCCGGCCUGAGAGGGUGACCGGCCACACUGGGACUGAGAUACGGCCCAGACUCCUACGGGAGGCAGCAGUGGGGAAUAUUGCACAAUGGGCGAAAGCCUGAUGCAGCAACGCCGCGUGAGGGACGACGGCCUUCGGGUUGUAAACCUCUUUUAGCAGGGAAGAAGCGAAAGUGACGGUACCUGCAGAAAAAGCGCCGGUUAACUACGUGCCAGCAGCCGCGGUAA